CAACUACUCCCUCUGUCCCAAAUUUUUUGUCUUAGAUUUGUCUAGAUACGGAUGUAUCUAAUACUAAAAUGUGACUUGAUACAUCCGUAUCUAGACAAAUCUAAGACAAGAAUUUUGGGACGGAGGGAGUACCUU
rnacentral:pre_miRNA from 1 species